rnacentral:tRNA from 28 species
GGAGGGUUCGCCUAGUGGCCGAUGGCGCUGGUCUUGAAAACCGGUAAGGCAGCGAUGUCUUCGUGGGUUCGAAUCCCACACCCUCCGCCC